rfam:Alligator sinensis unplaced genomic scaffold scaffold126_1, whole genome shotgun sequence
CAUUUAUCAAAGACAGUGCUUUUUAUAAAUA